CUACGGGGUGCUGCAGUGGGGAAUAUUGGACAAUGGGGGCAACCCUGAUCCAGCCAUGCCGCGUGUGUGAAGAAGGCCUUCGGGUUGUAAAGCACUUUAAGUUGGGAGGAAGGCUUUAAGGUUAAUACCCUUGAGGAUUGACGUUACCAACAGAAUAAGCACCGGCUAACUCCGUGCCAGCAGCCGCGGUAAUACGGAGGGUGCAAGCGUUAAUCGGAAUUACUGGGCGUAAAGCGCGCGUAGGCGGCUAUUUAAGCUAGAUGUGAAAGCCCAGGGCUUAACCUUGGAAUUGCAUUUAGAACUGGAUAGCUAGAGUAUGGAAGAGGAGUGUGGAAUUUCAGGUGUAGCGGUGAAAUGCGUAGAGAUCUGAAGGAACAUCAGUGGCGAAGGCGACACUCUGGUCCAAUACUGACGCUGAGGUGCGAAAGCGUGGGGAUCAAACAGGAUUAGAUACCCGAGUAGUC
rnacentral:rRNA from 1 species